rnacentral:rRNA from 1 species
UACAGAGGUGGCAAGCGUUAUCCGGAGUAACUGGGCGUAAAGGGCGGGUAGGUGGUUGUGUAAGUUGGUUAUGAAAGCUCCUGGCUAAACUGGGAGAGGUUGACCAAGACUGCAGAACUUGAGUGGAGAAGAGGUAAACGGAAUUCCGCGUGUAGUGGUGAAAUGCGUAGAGAUGCGGAAGAACACCAGUGGCGAAGGCGGUUUACUGGUCUCCAACUGACACUGAGCCGCGAAAGCAUGGGUAGCGAACGGG